rnacentral:rRNA from 1 species
UGCGGUAUCCUGACCGUCUAAGGUAGCGUGAUUAGUUGUCCUUUAAUUGGGGGCGUGACGAAUGGAUUAACGAGGGUUAAGCUGUCUCCCGGAGAGCUAUAGAAAUUGGGCUGCAGGUGAAAAUACCUGCAUUUUGACACAAGACAAGAAGACCCCGUAGAGCUCUGUUUAGUCUUAGUUAAAAAGGCCUCUGUUUAGAAGCAUACUUUUUAGCUGGGGAGAACUUAACUGGGAGGGUUGAGGAAAAUCUAAACUUCUUUUUUAUUAUUAGGCUUUUGCCGAUAUAGAUCUUUAUUGGCGUUUCGCCUUUAUUAAUAGAGUCAAAAGAUAAGCUACCUCGGGGGUAACAGGCUAAUUUUUCCUGAGAGCCCACAUUGACGGAAAAGUUUGGCACAUCGAUGUUGGCUUAGGAUAUCCUAUGGGUCAGUAGCCGCCUAUAAAGGUGGGUUUGUUCAACCCUUAAAAUCCUACAUGAUCUGAGUNNNNCCGGAGAG